AUGGAGAGUGUCGAAGUCACCGCUGCAAGUGGGAGCUCCGGGAGAGCUGGGAUCAUUGUGUGGACCAAUUCCAUGACGAAAACCAUGCUUGGUUUUUUGGCUGGUCUUGUUGCUGAUGGGAAGAGAACUUCAAGUGGAUUCAGAGAUGUGCAUCAUAGACAAUGUGCUGCUGUUUUGAACGAGCAAUUCAAGCUGUCAAGUAUGGUUGUAUGGUUGUAUGGUUGCCAAGCAUGUGAACUUCACAUGUAUGGCUGUAGUGCACUUUGA
rnacentral:rRNA from 1 species